AUUGUGUGUUGUGGUCAAAGCAGAAAGGGAGGUAACAGCAGGCACAGGAAUCUGCUCCCAGUGGACUGAAGUUUGUACUCUACCAUCAGACAUGUUCGUGCCUGUCAUCAGUCAGGAAAGUAGAGCUUUAGAUAAGUUUAAACUUGGAGCGGAAAGACGAUGGAACUCAAAACAUGAAGGCAAAGACUAACAAAUGACUCACAGGUUUUGUUAUGAAGACAAGACGUCACAUGCCAGGUGGACAACAAACUUUAAACUUGCGCCAAAGCAUCUAAAUUUUUUGUAAAAAUCUAUAUAGAUUGGAACAUUUUUGUUGUAACCAAAAUCUAUGCUUCUGGUGCUAGAAAUGUGUUUUUAGCACUAUGUCACUUGUGUUCAGUUUUCUCAUGUUCUGUUAUGUUGGCCUGAAGUAAAAGCACUAAACAUUGGAAAAGUAUCAGAAAAUCUCAACCGCACCUUAUUUUAGUCGUGUUGUCAUCUGGCGCCUGCUGUCAUUACCAACCCGAGUGCAGCCUGUGUCUGUUCCCAGCUCACUAAUAAAUGGUUCACUUAGUGCUGCCAACAUGAACAUGUUAGUUCAUUAAGCAAGUCGAGACUACUGCUGGCGUUCUGGCCAACUGUCACAGCUACUUUAUGAGCCUAACCCUCAACUGGUCCUGGAAUACACAUCGGCAGCCAGUCACAGCUCACACCUUGUGUCAUUUUCUGAGGGGCUGUCAUAAUGAACGGUGCUGUCUGCAGCUCUGCAUAUGGUACGCAAUGAUUAACUCUUGUGACUGACAGAGGCAACAGAAGCAUCCCACUGUUCAAAUAAAUG